GUCCUCGUAGCGAAGUGGUUACGCGCCUGCUGCUUAGCGUUGUUGUCUUCAGCGUUGCUUUUCGGACAGCGAUAAGAGCGGGAAACGUCAGUUCGAACCUGACCGAGGACA